rnacentral:lncRNA from 1 species
UUCCAUGGCCAGUUUAAAGUUUCCUGAUGUUUUUGACCUUGAGUCGCAUAUUACCCCUUCCAACAUAACUAAUCACAUUUCUCGGAGGCUUUUAGAUACUCCGUUGUAUCUUAUUCGAGCACCUCUUCCAAAUGAGAGGAUAGUGCUUCCUUACCCUCGCCCACCUGGUUUAGUGGAUCCCCAAGAGGUUCGUAGCAUAGUGUUUUUCC